AUGAAGAUUAGUGGAUGGAAAGAAACACUUCUAUCUGCGGGAGGGAAGAAGAUCCUCCUGAAAUCUGUUGUACAAGCGAUCCCCACCUAUGCGAUGUCCGUCUUUAAAAUUCCUAAAAAACACUGCAAGGGAAUCACUGAUGCGAUGUCUCAUUAUUGGUGGGGAGACGAGGGCAACCAGAAGCGGAUGCAUUGGAUGGCUUGGUGGAAAAUGUGUGUACCCAAAAAUCAAGGGGGUGGGGGGAUGGGAUUCUGGGAUAUUCAUUGUUUCAACCUGGCAAUGUUGGCAAAACAAGCUUGGCGUAUUCUUGAGAAUCCAGAGUCCUUAUGUGCUACCAUGUUGAGAGCUAAGUAUUUCCCUGAUGGUGAUUUGUUGAAUACGAAGUUAAAGAAGGGAUCCUAUUUUACUUGGCAAAGUACAAUGGUGGGGGUUAAUUGCCUAAAUCAUGGUUAUGUAUGGCGUGCUGGAAAUGGUCACAAUAUUAAUAUUUUGAAAGAUGCUUGGAUCCUGGAUUGUGCAAACAAAAAAGUAAUCACACCUAGAGGGAGUAAUUUGAUCUCAAGGGUAUCUGAUUUGAUUGACCAACUUGGAGGAAAAUCUAGUUACACAAAGGUUGUGGCCAGUUGA
rnacentral:rRNA from 1 species